GUUUUUUUCUUCAUUUUACUAAUAAUUCUGCUCUUGAGGUUAUUUGUCCAUUGUAUUCCCUGUGGAAAUACUACAUAUGUUGUAUGCAUCUCUUCCCAACUCUAUUCAGAAAUGUCACAUUGGUAGCACGAAAUUGGCUGUAAGGGGAGUAUUUACACCAUGGAAAUGGGCAAAUGCAGCAAGUCAGGGCGUGAUUUAUUGUUUUGUUGAUUUUUCUAGACCAUAUGUUAGCAAACCUUUUGUGUAAACAGCCAAAUAGUAAAUAUUUUAGGCUUUGUGGGACUUAUAGUCUCUGUCACAGCUACUCAGCUCUCACUGUAGUGCCAAAUGUGCCAAAGUAGCCAUAGACAAUACUUAAAGAAUGGGCAUGGGCCAGGUGCAGUGGCUCACACCUGUAAUCCCAGCACUUUGGGAGGCCCAGGCAGGGAUCACUUGAGGCCAGGAGUUAGAGACUAGCCUGGCCAACAUGGCAAAACCCUGUCUUUACAAACAAAUAAAAUAAACAGACAAAAAAGCUGGGUGUGGUGGUGUGUGCCUGUAAUCCCAGUUACCUGGGAGUGUGAAGUGGGAGGAUGCCUUGAGCCCAGGAGUUGGAGAUUGUAAUGAGCCGAGAUCACACCACUGCACUCCAGCCUGGGCGACAGAACAAGACCCUGUCUCAAACAAAAAACUCAUAGGCCUUUAUCUGAUAGUGAAGGGAACAAUAGAGUUGAAAGGGAAAAAUGGAGUAGAUACAGGCAAAUGUUUACAUACAUGAUACGGUGCAACAAGAAUAGCAGAACAUACUGCAAAAGAAAUUAUGUCAACAUAUUUAAGAAUCUUGGAAGAGAAUGGCAAAUAUGCACUAUAAUUGAUGAGACAUCUACAUAUUGGAAGAAAAUUACCUAGAGAUUUAUCUCCAGUACACAGUUGAAUAAGCUUCUGUACUGGUAAAGAUAUUUGUUGCUUUAAAAGAAUUGGUGUCAGCUGGGCACGGUGGCUCACGCCUAUAAUCCCAGCACUUUGGGAGGCUGAGGUGGGCAGAUCACAAGUGGGCGGAUCACGAGGUCAGAAGUUCGAGACCAGCCUGGACAUGGGUGGACAUGUACUUUACCAACCGCUAAUGCUGCAUGGCACACAUAUCCUACAUUAUAAAUGCAUUUUUC
rnacentral:lncRNA from 1 species